rnacentral:rRNA from 1 species
UACGGAGGGGACUAGCGUUGUUCGGAAUUACUGGGCGUAAAGCGCGCGUAGGCGGACCUGCAAGUCGGGGGUGAAAGCCCGAGGCUCAACCUCGGAACUGCCUUCGAUACUGCGGGUCUCGAGUCCGGGAGAGGUGAGUGGAAUUCCCGGUGUAGCAGUGAAAUGCGUAGAGAUCGGGAGGAACAUCAGUUGCGAAGGCGGCUCUCUGGACCAGCACUGACACUGAGGCACGAAAGCGUGGGGAGCAAACAGG